GCGAAGGGCUCCUUUUGGGUGCUGUGGCUAAGCUCACUUAUUUUGUACUAGUCGUCUUCGUAUCUUUCAUCUCCAGCUUCUUCUGUCUGUGAGUCAUCAAUCAUCCACCGAUUCCAGCUGCUACUUAUUCUCUGACCCACACCGUUACAUGUUUAAAUUUUUGUCAGGAUUUUGGUCUUCUCCAAAGUUGGAUGAUUUACCAGAAUACAUUUCUUGUCCUAAGCGCAACGGGAAAAUGUGUUUAAUGACGGACAACAAAAGUUUAUUAGGAAAAAGUUACAGAUGCCGUACCAAAGGAAGAAAGAGUAGGAAAAUAUGCAACAGCAAUGUUUCUGUACUUAACCUAACAUUUUCAAGCCAC
rnacentral:lncRNA from 1 species